rnacentral:pre_miRNA from 1 species
GAAAACCUGAAAACUACCGUUGGAUAAAACAAUGGGCAUUUGAGAUUUGUCCACGUUAUAAAGAGUAAAAAUUUUACUACCAGAUUCAAUCAUGAGUAAAAAUUUUAUUGAGAGUAAUUUUUACUCUUAGUGACGUACACAAAUCUUAGGCGUCCAUUUUAGAUUCAAUGGUAGUUUUCAGGUUUGC